AUUGAACGCUGGCGGAAUGCUUUACACAUGCAAGUCGAACGGCAGCACGGACUUCGGUCUGGUGGCGAGUGGCGAACGGGUGAGUAAUGUAUCGGAACGUGCCCAGUCGUGGGGGAUAACGUAGUGAAAAUUACGCUAAUACCGCAUACGUUCUAUGGAUGAAAGCGGGGGAUCGCAAGACCUCGCGCGAUUGGAGCGGCCGAUAUCAGAUUAGGUAGUUGGUGGGGUAAAGGCCCACCAAGCCAACGAUCUGUAGCUGGUCUGAGAGGACGACCAGCCACACUGAAACUGAGACACGGUCCAGACUCCUACGGGAGGCAGCAGUGGGUAAUUUUGGACAAUGGGCGAAAGCCUGAUCCAGCCAUUCCGCGUGCAGGAUGAAGGCCCUCGGGUUGUAAACUGCUUUUGUACAGAACGAAAAGGUUUCUACUAAUACUAGGAGCUCAUGACGGUACUGUAAGAAUAAGCACCGGCUAACUACAUGCCAGCCGCCGCAGUAA
rnacentral:rRNA from 1 species